UGCUAGGGGAGUGUUUGCUGAGAGUGCAGCCCGGCCUCGCAGAUAUGCGAUUCCAUGCUGCAGACCCUUAUCACCUGAUCCGGAUCAUGCCGGCGUAGGGAGAGCGAG
rnacentral:ncRNA from 1 species